rnacentral:lncRNA from 1 species
CCCCGGGCCAGUUCGGUUCCAUUCGGAACCGUUCGGAUCCCUUCGACUUUGCCCAUCCCCCGCUUGGACUCGUUCGGAACCAUUCGGAACCAUUCGGGUCCCUUCGGCACGGUCUGUCUCCGUUCGGACCCGUUCGGAACCAUUCGGGUCCAUUCGGGUUCCUUUGACAUAGUCUGUCUCCGUUCGGACCCGUUCGGCACCAUUCGGGUUCAUUCGGGUCCAUUCGGUACGGUCUGUCUCCGAUCGGACCCAUUCGGAACCAUUCGGGUCCCUUCGGCACAGCCUGUCUCCAUCCGAACCCGUUCGGACCCGUUCGGACCUGUUCGGAACCAUUCGGGUUCAUUCGGGUCCCUUCGGCACGGUCUGUCUCCGUUCGGAACCAUUCGGGUCCAUUCGGGUCCAUUCGGGUCCAUUCGACACGGUCUGUCUCCGUUCGGACCCGUUCGGAACCAUUCGGGUUCAUUCCGGUCCCUUCGGCACGGUCUGUCUCCGUUCGGACCCGUUCGGAACCAUUCGGGUCCAUUCGGGUCCCUUCGGCACGGUCUGUCUCCAUUCGGAACCGUUCGGAACCAUUCGGGUCCAUUCGGGUCCAUUCGGCACGGUCUGUCUCCGUUCGGACCCGUUCGGAACCAUUCGGGUUCAUUCGGGUCCCUUCGGUACGGUCUGUCUCCAUCCGAACCCGUUCGGAACCAUUCGGAUCCCUUCGGCUGUGCCCAUCCCCCACCUGGACCCGUUCGGACCCUUUCGGAACCAUUCGGGUCCAUUCGGGUCCCUUCGGCACGGUCUGUCUCCAUUCGGAACCGUUCGGAACCAUUCGGAACCGUUCGGGUCCUUUCGGCUCCAAUCUCUCCGGUUCGGCUCUUUCCGGCCUCGAUUCGGUUCCGUUCGGCUCGGUUCGGCUCUGCUCGUUUCAAUUCGGCUCUUUUCGGCCUCGGUUCGGUUCCGUUCGGCUCGGUUCGGCUCUGCUCGUUUCAAUUCGGCUCUUUCCGGCCGCGGUUCGGCUCCAUUCAUUCCUGUUCGGCUCUUUUCGGUCCAAUUCGGCUCCGGUUCGGCCCUUUUCGAGUCCGGUUCGGUUCCGUUCGACUCUUUUCGGCCCGGUUCGGUUCCGGUACCGCAGGUGAGCUCGGACCGGACCGUGGGAACCGCAACAGAUGGGGAUGAAUGAAUGAAUGGGACGGGG